rnacentral:rRNA from 1 species
UACGGAGGAGGCAAGCGUUAUCCGGAAUUAUUGGGCGUAAAGCGUCCGCAGGUGGCACUUCAAGUCUGUCGUCAAAGACUGGGGCUUAACCCCGGAAAGGCGGUGGAAACUGAAGCGCUAGAGUGCGGUAGGGGUAGAGGGAAUUCCCGGUGUAGCGGUGAAAUGCGUAGAGAUCGGGAAGAACAUCGGUGACGAAAGCGCUCUACUGGACCGCAACUGACACUCAGGGACGAAAGCUAGGGGAGCGAAUGGG